rnacentral:rRNA from 1 species
GACGAACGCUGGCGGCGUGCUUAACACAUGCAAGUCGAGCGAGGUCCGCUCGGGUGGCAACACCGGGGAAGACCUAGCGGCGAACGGGUGAGUAACACGUGAGCAACCUGCCCCGAAGACUGGGAUAACACCGGGAAACCGGUGCUAAUACCGGAUGUCCUCAUUGGGUCGCAUGGUCCGAUGAGGAAAUGGAUUCCGCUUCGGGAGGGGCUCGCGGGCUAUCAGCUUGUUGGUGAGGAACGGCUCACCAAGGCUACGACGGCUAGCUGGUCUGAGAGGACGACCAGCCACACUGGGACUGAGACACGGCCCAGACUCCUACGGGAGGCAGCAGUGGGGAAUCUUGCGCAAUGGGCGAAAGCCUGACGCAGCAACGCCGCGUGGGGGAUGAAGGCCUCGGGUCGUAACCCC